rnacentral:rRNA from 1 species
GCAGCGACGCGAACGUUUCCUUCGGGAAACUAGUAGAGUGGCGCACGGGUGNGNNNCGCGUAAGUAAUCUACCCUCGCAUCUGGGAUAACCCANNUGAAAGGUGUGCUAAUACCUGAUACGUCUGGAAUUAUACUUUGAAUCUAGAGAAAGGUGGCCUCUUCAUGAAAGCUACUGUGCGGGGAGGAGCUUGCGUACCAUUAGCUAGUUGGUAGGGUAACGGCCUACCAAGGCGAUGAUGGUUAGCGGGUCUGAGAGGAUGAUCCGCCACACUGGAACUGAAACACGGACCAGACUCCUACGGGAGGCAGCAGUGAGGAAUAUUGCGCAAUGGGGGCAACCCUGACGCAGCGACGCCGCGUGGAUGAUGAAGGCCUUCGGGUUGUAAAAUCCUGUCAGAUGGGAAGAAGUGCUAUAGCGUUAAUAUCGUUAUAGUUUGACGGUACCAUCAAAGGAAGCACCGGCUAACUCCGUGCCAGCAGCCGCGGUAAUACGGAGGGUGCAAGCGUUGUUCGGAAUUACUGGGCGUAAAGCGCGCGUAGGCGGCUAUUCAAGUCAGAUGUGAAAGCCCGCGGCUCAACCGUGGAAGUGCAUUUGAAACUGUGUAGCUUGAGUACUGGAGGGGGUAGUGGAAUUCCCGGUGUAGAGGUGAAAUUCGUAGAUAUCGGGAGGAAUACCGGUGGCGAAGGCGACUACCUGGCCAGAUACUGACGCUGAGGUGCGAAAGCGUGGGGAGCAAA